rnacentral:tRNA from 3 species
GGGCGAUUAGCUCAGUCGGUUAGAGCACCUGCCUUACAAGCAGGGGGCCGCAGGUUCGAGUCCUGCAUCGCCCA